rnacentral:rRNA from 1 species
CGCGUAGGCGGUUUCGGAAGUUAUGGGUGAAAGCCCCCGGCUCAACUGGGGAAUUGCCUGUAAAACCACGGAUCUGGAGUGCUGGAGAGGGAAGUGGAAUUCCCAGUGUAGCGGUGAAAUGCGUAGAUAUUGGGAGGAACACCAGUGGCGAAGGCGGCUUCCUGGACAGACACUGACGCUGAGGCGCGAAAGCCAGGGGAGCGAACG